rnacentral:rRNA from 1 species
GACGAACGCUGGCGGCGUGCCUAAUACAUGCAAGUAGAACGCUGAAGAGAGGGGCUUGCUCUUCUUGGCUGAGUUGCGAACGGGUGAGUAACGCGUAGGUAACCUGCCUUGUAGCGGGGGAUAACUAUUGGAAACGAUAGCUAAUACCGCAUAACAAUGGAUGACACAUGUCAUUUAUUUGAAAGGGGCAAUUGCUCCACUACAAGAUGGACCUGCGUUGUAUUAGCUAGUAGGUGAGGUAAUGGCUCACCUAGGCGACGAUACAUAGCCGACCUGAGAGGGUGAUCGGCCACACUGGGACGGAGACACGGCCCAGACUCCUACGGGAGGCAGCAGUAGGGAAUCUUCGGCAAUGGGGGCAACCCUGACCGAGCAACGCCGCGUGAGUGAAGAAGGUUUUCGGAUCGUAAAGCUCUGUUGUAAGUCAAGAACGGGUGUGAGAGUGGAAAGUUCACACUGUGACGGUAGCUUACCAGAAAGGGACGGCUAACUACGUG